rnacentral:misc_RNA from 1 species
AAUGCGAUAAGUAGUGUGCAUUGCAGAAUUCAGUGAAUCAUCGAAUCUUUGAACGCACAUUGCGCCCCUUGGUAUUCCAUGGGGCAUGCCUGUUCGAGCGUCAUUUGUACCCUCAAGCUCUGCUUGGUGUUGGGUGUUUGUCCUCUCUCUGCAUUGGACUCGCCUUAAAGCAAUUGGCAGCCGGCGUAUUGGCCUGGGAGCGCAGCACAUUUUGCGAUCUCUGUCAGAUUACGACGGCAUCCAUCAAGCCUUUUUAUCACUUUUGACCUCGGAUCAGGUAGGGAUACCCGCUGAACUUAAGC